rnacentral:rRNA from 1 species
UACGUAGGGUGCAAGCGUUGUCCGGAAUUAUUGGGCGUAAAGAGCUCGUAGGCGGUCUGUCGCGUCGGCUGUGAAAUCCCGAGGCUCAACCUCGGGUCUGCAGUCGAUACGGGCAAACUAGAGUAUUGCAGGGGGAGACUGGAAUUCCUGGUGUAGCGGUGAAAUGCGCAGAUAUCAGGAGGAACACCGGUGGCGAAGGCGGGUCUCUGGGCAAUAACUGACGCUGAGGAGCGAAAGCGUGGGGAGCAAACAGG